rnacentral:rRNA from 1 species
UACGAAGGGGGCUAGCGUUGUUCGGAAUCACUGGGCGUAAAGGGCGCGUAGGCGGCUUUGUAAGUCGGGGGUGAAAGCCUGUGGCUCAACCACAGAAUUGCCUUCGAUACUGCAUGGCUUGAGACCGGAAGAGGUAAGUGGAACUGCGAGUGUAGAGGUGAAAUCCGUAGAUAUUCGCAAGAACACCAGUGGCGAAGGCGGCUUACUGGUCCGGAUCUGACGCUGAGGCGCGAAAGCGUGGGGAGCAAACAGG